GUACACGCUGUGACUAGCAUAUCAAUAAGCGGAGGAAAAGAAACUAACAAGGAUUCCCCUAGUAACGGCGAGUGAAGCGGGAAGAGCUCAAAUUUGAAAUCUUAAAGGGUUUCCCUUUACGAAUUGUAGUUUAAAGAAGUGUUUUCUGUUGAGGUCUUGGUAAAAGUUCUUUGGAAUAGGACAUCAUAGAGGGUGAGAAUCCCGUAUUUGACCUUUACUUUCAACUUUGUGAUACACCUUCAAAGAGUCGGAUUGCUUGGGAAUGCAGUCCAAAAUGGGUGGUAAAUUUCAUCUAAAGCUAAAUAUUGGCGAGAGACCGAUAGCGAACAAGUACCGUGAGGGAAAGAUGAAAAGAACUUUGAAAAGAGAGUUAAACAGUACGUGAAAUUGUCAAAAGGGAAGCGUUUGACACCAGUGUUGUUUUUCUGAAAAUCAAUUAAAGAACUGUUUAUGCUAAGCUGUUUAGACUUUAUCAGCUAUCUGUUUAGUUUUGAGCUUUUCUUUAAUGCACUUUUCAGUUAACAAGUCAACAUCAAUUUCUUUUGCUGUAAAAAAGCUUGAGGAAGGUGGCUUGAGAUUCGUCUUAAGUGUUUAUAGCCUCUUGCCUAUGCAGUCGGAGAGAUUGAGGUCUGCAGCGUAGAUCCUUCGGGGCUAAAUGCAUUUGUGCUAAGUUAUAGCAUUUUAUAGACAACUUGUUGACUAUGAUUUGUCUUGUAGCUUACUCGCUUAUGUUAUUUUACCUACGCUUAGGAUGUUGACGCAUGAGAUAUACGC
rnacentral:rRNA from 1 species